UAAUGCAAUGUUCUGCAGCAUCCUGGUGUGUGAAAUGACGUGUGAGGUGGCUCAAUACGCCAUCUUUUCACGGAGCUCGACAUCUCAGCCGACAGCCCUGGAACUACAGUAUACGAUGCAUUUUGAGCUCACAAGAUGGAGCUUUUAUUAUGCACAGAACUUGCCACUGCUAGCUAGAAUCGGCAGUGGCUUCAUUCCGAGCUGUGAGCACCACGCUAGACUACCUGGCAGAAGAAGACAGGGGAUUUUUACACCGGGAGUUGGAAUGGGCAUGUUUGAGGGGGACAGGGUGCCAGUCGCCCUCUUAUAGCACACACUCGGUGGCGGUAAUGAGAGCCAAGAUGGCGGCCGAGCUACGCUACGUGACAGGCUGAGGACGAGUAUCCUGCCAGCGCCGUCGUUCGCGAUCCCCUCUUCGGUGCGCGCUCCCCGCCGUCUCUCCUCGGGACCGACGGGCUGACUAUGACAUCACUGGCAUCGCUGUAGAUUCCUGGGUGCCUUGGCCGCGAUGUGGCGGGAAUAUCCUGAUCCACACGGAACUGAUCGACUCCAUUUCAGCGGCUAAGGCUAAGCUAACCUGCUCUGCUACUGCGCGUCCGUUAUGAAGAACAGAGAUAGAUGUUUAAUCGUUACGUCACAUUCCUACAAAAU